UACGAAGGGGGCUAGCGUUGCUCGGAAUCACUGGGCGUAAAGGGCGCGUAGGCGGCCAUUCAAGUCGGAGGUGAAAGCCCAGGGCUCAACCCUGGAAUUGCCUUCGAUACUGUCUGGCUAGAGACCGGAAGAGGUAAGUGGAACUGCGAGUGUAGAGGUGAAAUUCGUAGAUAUUCGCAAGAACACCAGUGGCGAAGGCGGCUUACUGGUCCGGUUCUGACGCUGAGGUGCGAAAGUGUGGGGAGCAAACAGG
rnacentral:rRNA from 1 species